AUCCAGAUGACGAGUCCCAAAUAGGACGAAACUUUCGUCCUGGAU
rfam:Schistosoma mansoni strain Puerto Rico chromosome 1, complete genome